rnacentral:misc_RNA from 1 species
CUUUUUAGUUUCUUCUCUCUUCAUCUUCUACCAAAAAACCUGAACUUCUCUGCUUCGUUUUGAUCAGCUUUGACGGACAAAUUCCACUAUAGCACAAGUUUUAUCUGGCACAACUGGUUUUCUCCUUUCCGUUAGAUGGGUGAGAAAGAUUUGGAAAUUGAGGAAACAAGUCCACCAUGUAGAGAAGAUGAAACUAAAACACAAGUUGGAAAAGUAAAAAAGAAGAAGAAGGUGAAGGCUGAAAAGCGUGGAGUUUGUCACGUAAGUAGAGUACCGCCUCGUAUGGACCAUGUGAAACUUCGCCAGGUUCUUUCUCAGUUUGGAGAAAUUCAGAGAAUAUAUCUUGUACCUGAAGCUGCUGCUGCUCAAAUGAAUCGGAAACGGGCAGGUGGAUUCCGAGGACAAGCAUUUUCAGAAGGGUGGGUUGAGUUUACAAAAAAGAGUGUUGCCAAAAGAGUCGCAAAUAUGUUAAAUGGUCAACAGAUGGGUGGAAGAAAAAGGUCAUCAUUCUAUUAUGACAUUUGGAAUGUCAAGUACUUGUCUAAAAUCAAAUGGGAUGAUGUUACUGAUGAAAUCGCACAAAGGCAUGCAGUUCGUGAGCAGAAACUAGCUUUGGAGCUUUCUGCUGCUAAGAGGGAGCGUGAUUUCUACCUUACACAAGUUGAUAAAUCUCGUGCUUUAAGUUCUAUUGAAGAACGAAUGAAGAAGAAGCAAAAGGUGCAACAGGAAUCUGGGGUAAUUUCUGAUUUCCCAAGUGAUCAGUUUGCACCAAAGGUGAUACGACAAUUUCCCCAGAAAAAACCUGUGGCAGAUCAAGCUGGGAAACUCAAGCCUAGUCUGUCUAAGGACGUUUUGGCCGGAGUAUUUGGUGGUCAAUGACAAGGGCGUACCAGUGCAAACAUUUCAGAAAUUGUGCUUCCCAAGUGAUGAGUUGAGGAAAUUAGGUCUCUUUGGAUUGUCUUGGCAUCUAUGAUCAUUCACUUGCCAUCAAAGUUGGAGUCCAUUUUUUCCUAUGGUAUGUAAGCAAAAUGUUGUCCAUUGUUUCUACAAUUCUAACUCAUAUAUUUGCAAGUAGCGUUCAGGUUCGAGCUGUUGAAACAGUCGCAACGUAUGAUUCAAGCACAGGGGAUGAGGGGUUAUGUAUUGAUUGAUGUAUUCUUUUUUUUUAUCUUCUUUUAAUGGAAAUUAAACAACUUCUUUUGAUAGAUGAAUCUUGA